AUUGAACGCUGGCGGCAGGCUUAACACAUGCAAGUCGAGCGGGGUGAUGGUGCUUGCACUAUCACUUAGCGGCGGACGGGUGAGUAAUGCUUAGGAAUCUGCCUAUUAGUGGGGGACAACAUCUCGAAAGGGAUGCUAAUACCGCAUACGUCCUACGGGAGAAAGCAGGGGAUCACUUGUGACCUUGCGCUAAUAGAUGAGCCUAAGUCGGAUUAGCUAGUCGGUGGGGUAAAGGCCUACCAAGGCGACGAUCUGUAGCGGGUCUGAGAGGGAGGACCGGCAACACGGGGAUGGGAAAAGGGCCCGGCUCCCACCGGAGGGAAGAGUUGGGAAUAAUGGACAAAGGGGGGAACCCUGAUCCAGCCAUGCCGCGUGUGUGAAGAAGGCCUUAUGGUUGUAAAGCACUUUAAGCGAGGAGGAGGCUCUUUUGGUUAAUACCCAAGAUGAGUGGACGUUACUCGCAGAAUAAGCACCGGCUAACUCUGUGCCAGCCGCCGCAGUAA
rnacentral:rRNA from 1 species